UUUCGGGGUGGAGAUUCAUUGGUGGAAACCGCCUUAAUCGCAGUGGCUUGAACCGGGCAAAAGUCGUAACAAGGUUUCCGUAGGUGAACCUGCGGAAGGAUCAUUAUCGAGCUUCUAAAAAGCCUCAUACCGUACAUAGCAUUCAUUUGUACGAUACUGAGCCACGCAGCGAUUCGCAUGCAUAUGGUCGUCGGCUGUUCGUUUGGCUGACAAUGGCCCGCGAAACGCGUUUGCGUGAUAGGAUGCCUGGAUCGCACACCGCGCCUUAAGGUGUGCCGCUAACUUCCAGAAAUCCGACUAACUGUAACAACGGUGUCUCACCCGCUGGUGUCUAGGCUUCGCUUGAGCUUCCGCCCGACCGUCGGAAGCAAUGAGAGCGGGCGGCGCUCCUGAGGGACGGCUUAUGCCCUAUGCUAACGCUUGGGCGUCUUCUGGCCCCCGGUUGAACGCAGACUUAAUGAACGUAGCAUUGUACGCUGCCAGCAAUCAAACACUUCCUAGUACUGUGUGUGAAUAUGUCCUUAUUUCCAGAAUGUGUGAACAUUAUGGAAUAAAAUACUACUCUUAGCGGUGGAUCACUCGGCUCGUGGAUCGAUGAAGAACGCAGCUAGCUGCGAUAACUAGUGCGAAUUGCAGACACAUUGAGCACUAAAAUUUCGAACGCACAUUGCGCCAUUGGGUUCAUUCCCAUUGGCACGUCUGGCUGAGGGUCGAAUUCAUUCAAAUACACGUACUGCCUGAACGUGUGAUGUCGAGGGACAGCGCAUAGAGAGCCGACUUGCUCUCUGGAAGCUCUCCUUCUGUAAGUUUGCACUGCAAGCGCGUCACUUUCGCAGCUCCUCUCGGAGCUCGAAAACGUUGCUGCGUGUACAUGCGCUUAUGCGAGGUUGCCGAGAUGCAGGCUUCCAGCAGUUGAACAUGCCUCAUAUGUCCAGCUGGAAGAUCACGCUAGUGCAUCUGCUUAUGGCAAUUUCGUGCAUGGAGUAUUGCACGCAAACCCUUAUCAUUUGACCU
rnacentral:rRNA from 1 species